rnacentral:rRNA from 1 species
AUUGAACGCUGGCGGCAGGCCUAACACAUGCAAGUCGAACGAGUGGCGGACGGGUGAGUAAUGUCUGGGGAUCUGCCUGAUGGAGGGGGAUAACUACUGGAAACGGUGGCUAAUACCGCAUACUAUCGGAUGAACCCAGAUGGGAUUAGCUGGUUGGUGGGGUAACGGCUCACCUAGGCGACGAUCCCUAGCUGGUCUGAGAGGAUGAUCAGCCACACUGGAACUGAGACACGGUCCAUACUCCGACGGGAGGCAGCAGUGGGGAAUAUUGCACAAUGGGCGCAAGCCUGAGGCAGCCAUGCCGCGUGUAUGAAGAAGGCCUUCGGGUUGUAAAGUACUUUCAGCGGGGAGGCGUUACCCGCAGAAGAAGCACCGGCUAACUCCGUGCCAGCAGCCGCGGUAAUUC